rnacentral:rRNA from 1 species
UGAUACUGAAGGUCUUGAAUUUAGUUGAGGUGGGCGGAAUACGUUAUGUAGCGGUGAAAUGCAUAGAUAUAACGUAGAACACCGAUUGCGAAGGCAGCUCACUAAGCUAACAUUGACGCUGAUGGACGAAAGCGUGGGGAGCGAACAGGAUUAGAUACCCUGGUAGUCCACGCCGUAAACGAUGAUUACUCGUUGUGCACGAUACACUGUGCGUGACUGAGCGAAAGCAUUAAGUAAUCCACCUGGGGAGUACGUUCGCAAGAAUGAAACUCAAAGGAAUUGACGGGGGCCCGCACAAGCGGAGGAACAUGUGGUUUAAUUCGAUGAUACGCGAGGAACCUUACCUGGACUUAAAUGUAGAUUGACCGGUUUAGAAAUAGAUCUUCCCUUCGGGGCAAUUUACAAGGUGCUGCAUGGUUGUCGUCAGCUCGUGCCGUGAGGUGUCGGGUUAAGUCCCAUAACGAGCGCAACCCCUAUCGUUAGUUGCUAGCAGGUAAUGCUGAGGACUCUAGCGAGACUGCCACCGUAAGGUGAGAGGAAGGUGGGGAUGACGUCAAAUCAGCACGGCCCUUACGUCCAGGGCUACACACGUGUUACAAUGGCCAGUACAAAGGGCAGCUACCUGGUGACAGGAUGCUAACCUCUAAAGCUGGUCUCAGUUCGGAUCGGAGUCUGCAACUCGACUCCGUGAAGUUGGAUUCGCUAGUAAUCGUAGAUCAGCAAUGCUACGGUGAAUACGUUCCCGGGCCUUGUACACACCGCCCGUCAAGCCAUGGAAGCCGAGGGGACCUGAAGUUCGUAACCGCAAGGAGCGACCUAGGGUAAAAUUGGUAACUAGGGCUAA